GACGAACGCUGGCGGCGUGCUUAACACAUGCAAGUCGAACGGUAAGGCCCUUUCGGGGGUACACGAGUGGCGAACGGGUGAGUAACACGUGAGUAACCUGCCCUUGACUCUGGGAUAACAGCCGGAAACGGUUGCUAAUACCGGAUAUUCAGCUUCUGCCGCAUGGUGGUUGUUGGAAAGCUUUUGUGGUCAAGGAUGGGCUCGCGGUCUAUCAGCUUGUUGGUGGGGUAGUGGCUCACCAAGGCUUCGACGGGUAGCCGGCCUGAGAGGGUGACCGGCCACAUUGGGACUGAGAUACGGCCCAAACUCCUACGGGAGGCAGCAGUGGGGAAUAUUGCACAAUGGACGGAAGUCUGAUGCAGCAACGCCGCGUGCGGGAUGACGGCCUUCGGGUUGUAAACCGCUUUCAUCCAUGACGAAGCGAGAGUGACGGUAGUGGGAGAAGAAGCACCGGCUAACUACGUG
rnacentral:rRNA from 1 species